rnacentral:sRNA from 1 species
AUAAAAGAUAAAAUGACAGUAAUUAGUUCAGUUUCAGACGGGAGUGGCAGUGCGUGUGGAAUAAUUUCUGGCGAGAUACCGUUGUACUGCCCAGUGACGCAUCACUGCUGUGACGCUUCCUUACACACCUGUUGUGAUGAUGGCUUCGCUUGUCUCAGAGGUUUAUGUAUCAGCAUUGUCGUAACUAUCUUCAUAAUCAGCGGAAUUUGUUUCGUCAUCAUCUUCUUAAUUAUUGUCAAAGCUAUCAGAAAACGUCGUGUGUCAAAUGACACGAGAACAACACGAGGACUGAUUCAAAGGACAGAGGGUGCAGAUAACGUUAUUGUCUAUAAAUACUGUAAAUUCAUUCUUCUGGCCGUCAAAACGUUCUUCAAAAGAAUUCGGAAUAAAAUCAUUAAUUGAUUCCAG